GAAGUCGCAAUUAGCAGCCUUGUCACUGAACCUGUCAGUGUCCCCUGCCCAUGUGCGCGCAGGCCCUGCUCACAGCCUUUACUGACAUUGUUCACAUCCUUCCUCAGGGCCUCCCUGGACUGGCCAGCAGCUUCUCGCCACCUGCCCUUCCCCACAAGGAGGGAGCUGCUUCCCCGCCCAUCUCUGAUCCGCCUGCAUCUCCGGGACUGAUAGAUCUUCUUGGCAAAGCUGCCCCAAAGAUUCCUGCUAACGCCUGUCUGUUCCUGCCUUGUGUGGAGCGGGCGCCCACGGGACUCCGGAGAGAAUCUUAAACCCAAAGCUCUACCGUUGCUCUGGACGGCACCCUGUGCGCUCCUGCCUAGUCCCUCUCGGCUCCGGGAGCUGCUCACACCCCAGCGAUGCCCACGGGAGCCUUGGCCCCAGCUGGGUGAGACCAUUCCAGAGUGGGCCCCAACCUUACCAGCCUCCAGGACUCCCUCAUCACCUCCACCACCUCCCAUGUCCGACCGCCCAGCAGGCUCUAGGAUGUCUGUGCCCCAGAUCCAGGUGGAAGAAGUGGUGGUGGGGGAAGAGGUGCUGGCGGGAGCAGCCCCGCCUCCUGACGACCACCUCCGGAGCCUGAAGGCCCUGACUGAGAAACUGAGGCUGGAGACCCGCAGGCCCUCCUACCUGGAAUGGCAGGCGAGGCUGGAGGAGCAGGCCUGGCCCUUCCCCAGGCAGGCUGCUGAGCAGCGGGAGUGUGGGGAGGAAGAGCCCUCCCUGCCGCCGAGAGAGCCCAGGCGGCACCCGCCACCUAAUGCCAGUGCCAGCCAGGAUGCCGGGACCGGGUCCACGGGCAAGCUGGAAGGCUUUGAGAAUAUCGACGAGGCCAUAGCCUGGCUCAGGAAGGAACUGGUAAGUGGCUGCCCCUGCAAGGAUCCCAAGAUGCCAUUCUCUGUGUGUGUGUCUAUCUCUAUCUCUGUCCCCCUCUCUCUGUUUCUGACCCAUCUCUACCUCUCCCAAGUGCACAUCUGUCAUUUCCUAUUAAAUCAAAGGUAAGCUUUA